rnacentral:rRNA from 1 species
GGUUAAGCGACUAAGCGUACACGGUGGAUGCCCUGGCAGUCAGAGGCGAUGAAGGACGUGCUAAUCUGCGAUAAGCGUCGGUAAGGUGAUAUGAACCGUUAUAACCGGCGAUUUCCGAAUGGGGAAACCCAGUGUGAUUCGUCACACUAUCAUUAACUGAAUCCAUAGGUUAAUGAGGCGAACCGGGGGAACUGAAACAUCUAAGUACCCCGAGGAAAAGAAAUCAACCGAGAUUCCCCCAGUAGCGGCGAGCGAACGGGGAGCAGCCCAGAGCCUGAAUCAGUGUGUGUGUUAGUGGAAGCGUCUGGAAAGGCGCGCGAUACAGGGUGACAGCCCCGUACACAAAAAUGCACAUGCUGUGAGCUCGAUGAGUAGGGCGGGACACGUGGUAUCCUGUCUGAAUAUGGGGGGACCAUCCUCCAAGGCUAAAUACUCCUGACUGACCGAUAGUGAACCAGUACCGUGAGGGAAAGGCGAAAAGAACCCCGGCGAGGGGAGUGAAAAAGAACCUGAAACCGUGUACGUACAAGCAGUGGGAGCACGCUUAGGCGUGUGACUGCGUACCUUUUGUAUAAUGGGUCAGCGACUUAUAUUCUGUAGCAAGGUUAACCGAAUAGGGGAGCCGAAGGGAAACCGAGUCUUAACUGGGCGUUAAGUUGCAGGGUAUAGACCCGAAACCCGGUGAUCUAGCCAUGGGCAGGUUGAAGGUUGGGUAACACUAACUGGAGGACCGAACCGACUAAUGUUGAAAAAUUAGCGGAUGACUUGUGGCUGGGGGUGAAAGGCCAAUCAAACCGGGAGAUAGCUGGUUCUCCCCGAAAGCUAUUUAGGUAGCGCCUCGUGAAUUCAUCUCCGGGGGUAGAGCACUGUUUCGGCAAGGGGGUCAUCCCGACUUACCAACCCGAUGCAAACUGCGAAUACCGGAGAAUGUUAUCACGGGAGACACACGGCGGGUGCUAACGUCCGUCGUGAAGAGGGAAACAACCCAGACCGCCAGCUAAGGUCCCAAAGUCAUGGUUAAGUGGGAAACGAUGUGGGAAGGCCCAGACAGCCAGGAUGUUGGCUUAGAAGCAGCCAUCAUUUAAAGAAAGCGUAAUAGCUCACUGGUCGAGUCGGCCUGCGCGGAAGAUGUAACGGGGCUAAACCAUGCACCGAAGCUGCGGCAGCGACGCUUAUGCGUUGUUGGGUAGGGGAGCGUUCUGUAAGCCUGCGAAGGUGUGCUGUGAGGCAUGCUGGAGGUAUCAGAAGUGCGAAUGCUGACAUAAGUAACGAUAAAGCGGGUGAAAAGCCCGCUCGCCGGAAGACCAAGGGUUCCUGUCCAACGUUAAUCGGGGCAGGGUGAGUCGACCCCUAAGGCGAGGCCGAAAGGCGUAGUCGAUGGGAAACAGGUUAAUAUUCCUGUACUUGGUGUUACUGCGAAGGGGGGACGGAGAAGGCUAUGUUGGCCGGGCGACGGUUGUCCCGGUUUAAGCGUGUAGGCUGGUUUUCCAGGCAAAUCCGGAAAAUCAAGGCUGAGGCGUGAUGACGAGGCACUACGGUGCUGAAGCAACAAAUGCCCUGCUUCCAGGAAAAGCCUCUAAGCAUCAGGUAACAUCAAAUCGUACCCCAAACCGACACAGGUGGUCAGGUAGAGAAUACCAAGGCGCUUGAGAGAACUCGGGUGAAGGAACUAGGCAAAAUGGUGCCGUAACUUCGGGAGAAGGCACGCUGAUAUGUAGGUGAAGUCCCUCGCGGAUGGAGCUGAAAUCAGUCGAAGAUACCAGCUGGCUGCAACUGUUUAUUAAAAACACAGCACUGUGCAAACACGAAAGUGGACGUAUACGGUGUGACGCCUGCCCGGUGCCGGAAGGUUAAUUGAUGGGGUUAGCGCAAGCGAAGCUCUUGAUCGAAGCCCCGGUAAACGGCGGCCGUAACUAUAACGGUCCUAAGGUAGCGAAAUUCCUUGUCGGGUAAGUUCCGACCUGCACGAAUGGCGUAAUGAUGGCCAGGCUGUCUCCACCCGAGACUCAGUGAAAUUGAACUCGCUGUGAAGAUGCAGUGUACCCGCGGCAAGACGGAAAGACCCCGUGAACCUUUACUAUAGCUUGACACUGAACAUUGAGCCUUGAUGUGUAGGAUAGGUGGGAGGCUU